GGGGAAUUUUGAUGUAUCACAAAAACCAGCAUCCAGUUGAUGUGACUCUUCUUCCAGGGUCCUGCCCACAAGAAAGAUUGUGACAUCUCACUGGACAAGCACCCACCCAGACUCUGCCAAGAGAGGGGAUUAUUACAUAUUGCAGAGCCCAGCACCUAGGUGGAGUGACUCUCAUCUUUUUCUUCUACCCCGUAUAUAGCCAGCUUGGUGACCUACUAUUUGAGUCUAUACCCAGGCCCAGACCACAGAUGAAAUUGUGCAAUAUGUGGAACAAACACCUAAACAAUAUAUAACACCUUCCUUGGCUCUGUCUACAAAGGGCACUUUUAUAUAUCACUGGGACCAUCAACCAGGUGAUGUUAAUUAUCUUCCUGAAACCUGUCUACAAAGAGAGUUGUGUCGUAUACCUAGGCCCGUCAUGUGAUAUAACCCUCUUCUCUGGAAUGGGCCCCACACAAAGGAAGGAUAGUGACAUAUUGCAAGCCCAGGCACACAGGCCCAGAGCACAGUUGAAAUUGUGACAUAUGUACACCAAGCAACCAAGCAAUGUAUAACACCUCAUUUGGCAAUGGAAUCGAGGGCACUUUUACAUAUCACUGAGACCAGCGCCCAGCUGAUGUGAAAUAUUGGCCUGAACCCUGCCUACAAAAGCAUUGUGGCUUUUAUCUAGCUCCAUUACAUAAGUGAUGUGACU
rnacentral:lncRNA from 1 species